GAAUGUGGCUCAGUUGGUAGAGUGCAUGCCUAGCAUGCACAAGGCCCUGGGUUCAGUCCCCAGCAAAACA
rnacentral:tRNA from 1 species